UAAUCGCGCAUCAGCCAUGGCGCGGUGAAUACGUUCCCGGGCCUUGUACACACCGCCCGUCAAGCCAUGGAAGCCGGGAGUGCCUGAAGUGUGCAACCGCAAGGAGCGCCCUAAGGUAAAACUGGUGACUGGGGCUAAGUCGUAACAAGGUAGC
rnacentral:rRNA from 1 species